UUCCUGGCCAGGACGGGUUGCCGGGCCAACCAGGCCAACCAGGAUAUCCGGGGAAACCUGGCAAGCCUCCCUCAGAUGAACAUCUUCUAAAGCUCUGUGAGGACGUUCUGCGCAAUCAACUUCCAGCACUGCUCCAGACCCUGAUCCCCACAGCUGGGUGUGAACCUUGCCAGAGCAUGAAGGGACCCCCGGGUGAGCCAGGACCACCAGGGCCCAAAGGCUCCAUGGGAACUCCAGGCUACCCUGGCAGGAAUGGUGCUCCCGGUUACCCAGGACCUCCUGGCCUGCAGGGUCCUGUAGGCCUUAAAGGUGAUAUAACCCAUAAUGUAGGGAUUGACAUGGUAAUAAUCAACACCUUAGGACAAGUUUAUAGUAUCUGUAUUUAAUACUCCCUUUUGAGGCAGAGGUGUCAGAUUCACUGUCUGCAAGUGUAACUGAAACUUGAAAACAAGACAAUGAAUAACAACAUCAAUUCAUGAACAGGAGCUAAGACAAAAUGUAUUGCUCUCAUCAACGAUUAAAAUCAAAACAGUGUCAGCGACUAACAAAUUGAAUGUGUUAAUGCUCAGUGUACCCCAUAAAACAAGAUCAUUAAACAAGUGAACAUCAGCACAGCUACAGACAUAAAAAUCUUAGUGAGCUGUCUCUGAUUUAUCAUCACUUGAAGAUAGCGAGUGGCUAAUCAGCCGUGAAAGAUGCCAAACUGUACCACUCCACUGCUGUGUAUCAUUUCCACUCACUGGGUCAGGCAAACAGCAACUUCUGAGGUAUCAGGCUUGGUUGAAAACCCUGAGGGAAGAGACAAUUUAUAAGUAAAAUUUACUUAUUUUUUUGCUAAUUAGCAAAUAUUAGCAUGCUAACAAGCUAAACUAAGAUGGUGAACACUGUGAACAUUAGAUAUCAAAUGCUAAAUAUCAAAAUAUUAGCUUUGUCACUGUGAGCAUGUUAGCAUGCUUACAUUAUAUUUAAGCUGAGAACAACACUAUGCCAAAAUACAGCAUCACAGAGCCGCUAGCAUGGCAGGAGGCUGCGGUCCAUCAGGACCAAACCUCUCGCCACAAGAACAGUUUCUUUCCGAUGGCAGUGGGCUUCCUCAACAAGGCCUGGGUCCCCACUGUCACUGAUUCUCAUGCCCCCCUCCCCAAACACACACACACACUUAUACACACUCUAGACCCCUACACUUUACAACGCUCAGCUGUGCUUUAUGCUUAUGUUGUGAACUUUUGCACA